rnacentral:misc_RNA from 1 species
AAGUCGUAACAAGGUAACCGUAGGUGAACCUGCGGUUGGAUCAUUACCGAUUGUUUGCUGCGGCCGCUCUCUGCAAAGAUUGAGCAGCCGCAGCCACACACCUCUUGUGAACCGUAAUUGUUUUUGGGUGCGGGGUAGCCUUGAUUGUGCGACCACACACCCGACAGUACAAACCCCCAAUUUUUUGUGUAGACUGAAGCGAAAGCAAGCCAAAAAACGAGAAACAACUUUUGACAACGGAUCUCUUGGCUCUC